CUCUACUUCUUGCUCUCUUUCUUUCUCUCUGCUUCUCUGUCUACUUCUCUCACUUUCUGUCUCUCAACAUCUCACCCUGUUCCCCUACCUCUCUCUUUCUGUCUCUUUACUUUUCUCUCUUUCUGUCUCUUUACUUUUCUCUCUUUCUGUCUCGCGACGUCUCGCUCUCUCUUUGUUUACUUCUUUCUCUUUCUUUCUCUCUACUUCUCACUCUUUCUCUACUUCUCUUUCUACAUUUCUCUCUUUCUCUCUGCUUCUCUGUCUACUUCUCUCACUUUCUGUCUCUUGACAUCUCACUUUUUCUCUACUUCUCUCUCUUUAUUUUUCUCUACUUCUUGCUCUCUUUCUCUCUCUACUUAUCUUUAUUUAUCUCUAUCUGCUUGUAUCUUUAUUUCCUUCUCUCUUUGGGAUAUACCUAUCCCUUUUUCUCUCAAAUUUUCUCUCUUUCUCUACUUCUCUCUUUCUGUGUCAACAUCUCGCUCUCUUUCUCUACUUCUCCCUCUAUCUUUCUCUCUACUUUUUGCUCUCUUUCUUUCUCUCUGCUUCUCUGUCUACUUCUCUCUCUUUCUGUCUCUCAACAUCUCACUCUCUUCCUCUACAUCUCUCUUUCUGUCUCUUUACUUUUCUCUCUUUCUGUCUCGCGACGUCUCGCUCCCUCUUUGUUUACUUCUUUCUCUUUCUUUCUCUCCACUUCUCACUCUUUCUCUACUUCUUUCUACAUUUCUCUCUUUCUCUCUGCUUCUCUGUCUACUUCUCUGUCUACUUUCUCUCUCGACAUCUCACUUUUUCUCAACUUCUCUCUCUUUAUUUUUCUCUACUUCUUGCUCUCUUUCUCUCUCUACUUAUCUUUAUUUCUCUCUAUCUGCUUGUAUCUUUAUUUUCUUCUCUCUUUCUUUCUACUAGGGAUAUACCUAUCCCUUGUUCUCUCAAAUUCUCUCUCUCUCUACUUCUCUCUUUCUGUCUCAACGUCUCGCUCUCUUUCUCUACAUCUCCCUCUGUCUUUCUCUCUACUUCUUGCUCUCUUUUUUCUCUCUGCUUCUCUGUCUACUCCUCUCUCUUUCUGUCUCUCAACGUCUCACUAUCUUCCUCUACCUCUCUCUUUCUGUCUCUUUACAUCUCACUCUCUUUCUCUCUCUUCUUUGUCUACUUUUCACUCUCUCUUUCUCUCUUUUGUUUCUUACUACAUGUCCCUCUUUCUCUUUCUGUCUCUGCUUCUCUCUCUAUCUACUUCUGUUUCUCACUAAUUAUCCCUUUUUCUCUCUUUCUACUUCUCUCUUUCUACUUCUUUCUACUGUCUCUUUCUAUUCCUCUCUCUCUACUUAUCUCUUAUUCUCUGUCUUUCUGUUUACUUAUCCCCUUUCUCCCUACUACCUUUCUGUAUAUCUCUCUACUUCUCUCUAUUUCUCUUUGUCUUUUUCCUCUACUUGUCUCUCUUUAUUACGUCUCUCAUUGUUGCUCUCUUUGCCUAUCUAACCCUCUUUGUACUUUUCUUUUCUCUUUCUCUAUCUUAUCUCUUACUAUCUUUUUAUUUCUAUCUCUCUUUUUCUGUCUCUACUUCUCUCUUUUUUCUCUCUACUUUUUUUUCUCACUUUCUCUCACAUUUGAAUAAAUUUAACCUAUAUUUCCAAAUUUAAGCUAAAGCUGAAGAAACUAUAGCUGAAGCUGAAACUGAUCUGUGAGAUAUGCAUGUAAG
rnacentral:lncRNA from 1 species